UACAGAGAGGGCAAGCGUUGUUCGGAAUUACUGGGCGUAAAGGGCGCGUAGGCGGCCUUCUAAGUCGAACGUGAAAUCCCCGGGCUCAACCCGGGAACUGCGUCCGAUACUGGAAGGCUUGAAUCCGGGAGAGGGAUGUGGAAUUCCAGGUGUAGCGGUGAAAUGCGCAGAUAUCAGGAAGAACACCGGUGGCGAAGGCGGGUCUCUGGGCCGAUACCGACGCUGAGGAGCGAAAGCGUGGGGAGCGAACAGG
rnacentral:rRNA from 1 species